AUAGGCACCCAGUGCUUCCCACACGCAGCUGCAACGCCCCCCAGGACUGCCUGAGCCGGGUGCCUGCGAGCAGGUGCUGCCUGGGUGGGGGGGCACAGCUGCUGCGGAGGGAAGCAUCACCCCCUCCCCUGCAACCCAGGGAUCGCUCCACCCACUGGCAGCUUGCCCUACCCUCCCCACUGGAGAGGCAGGACUGGAAUGAUCUAGGCUACCAGAUGACCUCUGGCCGCUAAAAAGCUUUCUGGCCUGUUUAGAUCUUCUCCAUGGACUGCCACCUUGAUGGGAUGGAGAGGCUUACAUGUACCGAUGAUCCUAAAAGCAACACCAUCAGAAGUCUUGUAUUCCUGGUAGGGGCACCUAUGGUAGUAAGGUCAAAGGUGAGGUAUCAGAUGAAGAGCAGUCCAAUACAACACAAAGACCUCAACAGUAGAGCAGCCAGAUGCAGAAGGCAUACUUCUCAACAGCUGCAAAAGCAGAUGAAGGCUUCAGUGGACAAGUAAACCCUGUUGUCUUGGAUCCCCUUGCCACUGGACAUCAGAAAAACCAAGGUGCUUCACCAGCCUGCUCUGGACCAAUCAAGGCCCCUGACAAAGAUCCUCAUUGAUGGACAGGAGCUGGAGAAUGUUGAACACUUUACAUAGCUUGGCAGCCAACUCUCAAAGAAGGCCAGCAUCAACAAGGUGAUCCAAGAUAGGAUCCAAUGUGCCAGCUCUGCCUUCAGAAGACUGAAUCAUUAUGUGUUCAAUAAUCUCAACAACAGGACAUGAACAAAGCUCCUACUACACAAGGUGGUGGUAAUCCAAACUCUUCUGUAUGGCUAUGAAGCUUGGGUGACCUACAGGAACCACCUGAAAAGACUGGAAUGCCAUCACUAGCACUACCUCUGGAAGAUCAUUGGCAUAAAGUGGCAAGAUCAUCACACAAAUGCCAGUGUCCUCACCAAUGCUAACACCACCAGUAUGGAAGCAUUGUUUAUGUAGCAUCCAUUCAGAUGAACAGGGCAUUAUGUGUGCAUGUCUGAUGUAUGUAUGCCAGAACAACUGCUAUACUCCCAACUCAGCCAAGGACAAAGGACACAUGGGGGCCAGAGAAAAUGCUUCAAAGACAUCCUGAAGGCAAACAUUAAGUGUGGCACUUACACUACAAAUUAGGGAAAACUAGCCCAGGACAGGACUGCAUGGCAAUGCCCUGUGAGAAAAGAAACAUCUUACUUUGAGACAGGUCUGGCCCUGGAGGCAGGAAAAUGACAGAAGUAGAAGGAAAGGAAAUAAGUCUGAGAAAUCUGUGGUCUGAUCCUCCCUUUAACCACCACCUAAGGUAUUUGCCAGAGAGUCUGCAGCUCUAGGAUCAGCUUUCUUAGCCAUCAAUGGACUCAUUUACAACCUUUUACUUGACCCAUGGGAGUGAUCAUCCUCAACCAUGAGGGAUCACCAAUGACAAUAUUAGCUCCCCGCCUCCCCCAACAAUAUUUUUAUUAUUCAAAGUUAAUUUUGCAAAAUAUCAAUC